rnacentral:lncRNA from 1 species
GUCUGGGGGGGGGGGGCUUGACAGAGCUCUCCCACCCCAGCCCGGCCCCUGUCCCAGCCUCGCCUUGGUCUGGGAACUGCUCAGCCAGUGUGACCAGACAGACCCCACCUGGACGCCAGGCCCUGCCCAUGUCUGAGCCACCGUCUUGUUUCUGUCUCAGUCCCAGACUCAGCAGCAACCUCGGGCCCAGGCACUGCCUCCCAGGUGGUGAAACUGAAGGCCCAGAGCAGUGAUGGGACUUGGCCCGGGUCCUGCUGAAAUUUCCCUGCCCGGCCUCCGGUCCUGCUAGCAGAGUGGACACCGACUGUUCCCAGGAAGGGCGCCUUCUGUGCAAGACAUUCGCCUUGCCUUCGUGAAGGAGAAAAAGGGGAAAGGGGCCCACAGGAAUGGAGCCUUUUCUCUCCCUGUCCCCGCCUUUCUUUCAGAGGGAUGCAAACCCACAGGUUUCCUGGGUGCUCCAUGGACACUUAGGGAACCAGUGGGCAGAUAAAGGACACAUAACCGGAUUCCCUACAGCACUGCCAGACUCCCAAGGCCCAGUGGACUCUUCUCUCUUCUUUGCCAUCAGGAGGAGUGUUCACACUGAGCAUUCCAUAAACUGCCUCCAACAGCUCCUGUUCAGCUGCUCAGUGGGUCCAGCUUUCCCAGGCCUGGCCCCUGGGUCAGAGCAGAAACAAGCAGACCUCAUGAGGGAAAAGCAGGAAGGAGGGACCUGAGUCCCCGUUCUAGACCCAAGAGGGAGAGAGCUUCCUCUGCAGCUCAAUGUGGGAGGAAUCCAAGGCAGUUGCGUGCAGACUACCUCCUUUCCGGAAGGUUCCUCCAGCCUAGUCCUUCAGCUUCCAUCCACCCCACCUCCCAGACCCCAGCUAAGUGAGAGUGGCUCCACAGCCUGCCCCAGGGAAGCCUCGCUCUGCAGGUAACUCUUCCAGGAUCUGGUCUGCCCCAAAGGACCAUAGUCCAGUGGUCAGAAGCAAGGGUUCACCAGAAGUUUCCACUUCUGAAUAGGAGAAGUAGAGUCCAGGGUGUUGGCUCUGCCCACACUGGGGUGGGGUUGGGUGGGGUCCAUUUAUUUAAUUUAGUCUCAAUGCUCAAAGAGAGGGGAGACUUAGAUAGUUACCCAGCUGUCACUAAGUGCAUCCAAGGGACACCAAAUACAGGAAGAACCAGCCUGAAGAAGCGACAUUCAGACAGAAGGAGGUGACCAAGGUGCACCGGAAGCUUCCAACCUGUCCUUAAUAAGGGGUUUCAGAGGAUGUGGCUGUUGUCCCCUGGAAAUGAGUUCAGUGACUGGGUCUAGACUCAAUCUGCUCGGCUCCUUAAAUAGAUGUAAAUAAAACAAGUGUCAGAGACGUUCCA